GUGCUUGCUUCGACAGCACACACAGUAUACGUGGAAUGAGGCAGAGAAUGCUAGCAUCUCCCCUGAACAAGGCUAAUGUCCAAAUGUGUGAAGCAUUUCAUUUUUAA
ensembl:snRNA U6 U6 spliceosomal RNA